CCAGCUGUGAUGAGGCUCUAACACAUUAGAAGACUCCCUAUGUGGGUUUCUCCAAUGAAAUAUACAUGUUACGCUUGGCUUCUGAGCUUA
rfam:Lupinus angustifolius cultivar Tanjil chromosome LG05, whole genome shotgun sequence.